UCCAAGGCAAUGGUGCUCAUUGUUUUCCUAAUACCAAUACUUUCAUUCGUUGCGUAUUUCUACAUAAAAUAUAGGUACAGUUAUUGGAGCAAAAGAGGGGUCACCCAAAUUGAACCCGAAUUUCCGUACGGAAAUCUAAAGGAAACUAUAUUGAAGAGGCGCACCAUCGAUCAGAAUUUGACGCUUUUGCGAAACAAAUUUAAGCAACUCAACCAAAAACACGGUGGUAUUUAUCUAUUUUCCACUCCCAUAUGGAUCCCCGUCAGUCCCGAUAUGAUCAAAAACAUCCUCCAGAAAGAUUUCCAUCAUUUUACCGACCACUACAUCUACUACGACGAGAAGGAAGUUCUGACGAACAACAUCUUUCAUAUGGAAGGGGACAAAUGGAAGCAGAUGAGGACCAAGCUAUCUCCGGCCUUUACUUCUGGAAAAAUGAAGCAGAUGUUCGAUAUCGUUUACGCCUUGGGACAGGCCCUAGAACAAUUGGUCGACGAAAUGUACAGCGACUCGAAAAAGCCGUUCUGCAUCAGAGAGACUAUCGCAUGCUUUUCGACCGACGUGAUCGCAAACUGCGCGUUCGGCCUGGACCCCAAAUGUAUGGAAAAUCCGGACGCCGAGCUGAGGGUACACGGGAGAAAAAUCUUUGAACCGAGGAACUUGAAAUCGUUUCUCGAACAGUUUCUGCCGUGGAAGCUGUUGGCUUUCCUGGGGUACACGUUCUUGCCCAGUGAUUCUUCCAAGUUUUUCCACGAAAUGGUGAAAAACAUCGUAGAAUUUCGGGAGAAGAACCACGUGCACAGGAACGACUUCGUGCACUUUCUCCUUCAAUUGAAAAACAAGGGGAGGAUGCUCAACGACGGGGACAUUUCUAAGACCAACGAAGGCGUCAUCACCAUGAACGAUUUGGCGGCCAGCAUGUUCGUUAUAUUUGCUGGAGGAUUCGAGACUUCCGCGACGACCACCACCUUCAUGCUCUACGAACUAGCGCGCAACCAAGACGUCCAGAACAAGAUAAGGGAGGAAAUAAGAAAUAUCGUAAGGAACGAUCCUGAAGGAAAGCUAACGUACGAAGGUUUGCAGGAGAUGCACUACACCCAAAAAUGCAUUGACGAGUCGCUAAGAAUGUACCCGCCAUCGGGAUUGUUGCUUAGAAAGUGCACCAAAACCUACAAGGUGCCUGAUUCCGACGCCAUCAUCGAGAAGGGCACCCAAGUUUUCGUUCCGGUUAUGGCGGUGCAACGAGAUCCGGAUAUAUAUCCCGAUCCUGAUACGUUCAACCCGGAGAACUUCAGCGAAGAGAACAAGGCUAAGAGGGAACAAAUCUCCUGGAUGCCGUUCGGCGAGGGUCCCAGGCAAUGCAUCGGUCUUAGGUUUGGCUACAUGCAGGUGAAAAUUGCUCUGGCUGCGUUGCUUAGAAACCACAGGUACACCUUGAAUCCACUGACACCAGAAACGUUUACGUACCUCGUGGAUUCUCUGUCGCUAGCUACCAAAGAAGAAAUAUAUUUGGACGUCGAAAAUGUGGGGGCGGAUUAAUCGCUUUUGUUAAGAGAAUGUGACAACCAUGCUUUUGGCAUCCAUAGAAGAAUAGUUAGAAGCAUAGUCACGAAAAAAUAGAAGUUUUGCUGAUAUUACUGAAGUUUCGAGCAAACAAGCACUUCUACAGGAAACCUCUAAACAAUCCGAAUCUAGCGCGAAUUUCCAGGGUAAGAAACUACAGCGCAGGCUUCCAUCGAAAUAAUAAUAUGGUUUUGAUUGUAAGGCAGGUCGACGAAGACCUGGAAGACGAUUCUUCAUCAGAUGCUGAUUCGACUUCGUCGCUUAUGUAAUCUGCGUCACUUAGAUGGACUUAUAAGGCUAUAUCUCAGGUGGGUCGUUUAAAGAGUCUAAAAAGUUGUACACACUGUCUGCCAGGUAAUCACAGAAGUUUAUCAAAAUAAAUAAGAACUAAAAGUUCAGAUUUUCACGAAAUUAUAUAUUAUGACAUGACAAUUGUUUCGACAACACAGUGUCUUUAUCAAAUGUCACAUUUGAUAAAAUUUUGAUAAAUGGAUUUUCAUCAAGUAAAAGCCACCUCAGUUCAAUCACAGAUGUUUAAGUGCUCGGGGCAGAUUUGACCCCACGAUAGUAGCUCAGGGUUAACAUUUCCUGUUUCAUUUUUUAGAUUUUCGAAAAAUCAAACGGAUUUGGUAUUAUUCCAGCUUAAG